GGCUGAGGAGAGGAGCUGGUGUGGGUGGGAAUUUGGCUGACUCCACGGUUUUCCAUAUGCACCGUGUGCUCCUUGUGCUUGAGCAGGAAGCUGGUCUCCACUGACAGACCUGGGAGCAGGAAAACAGCCACUGUGUAGGUGGUUUUGAAGAAACCUCCCUCUGUUUUUCCUGUACCCAGCCGGUGCAAAGAGAGGCAACCAUCUGGUGAAUUGUGGACUGGGUCGAUUCGAAAAGAGACUACUUUUUUUCUUGUUCUAAAACUGAAGUUCAGCUGGAAUUACUGAACCAUUGCUCAACACUUCUUUCAUCUUCUGAAUAUAGUCUUCUACAAGAGAAGUUAUUAAUUGAUUGGAGGAGAUGAAAGGAUCUACUAAUCUGCUGGAAUCAUAUGCAAAAUGAUAUGCUGGAGGACUUUAAAGAUCAGAAGACAAGUGACAUGCCUGUAAUCUCAGCACUUUGGGAGGCCAAGGCAGGUGGAUCACUUGAGGUCAGGAGUUUGAGAGCAGCCUGGCCAACACAGUGAAACCCUGUCUCUACUAAAAAUACAAAAAUUGGUAGGGACUGAUUGUGCAUGCCUGUAACCCCAGCUACUCAGGAGGCUGAGGUGGGAGAAUUGCUUGAAUCUGAGAGGUGGAGGUUGAAGUGAGCCUAGAUUGCACCACUGCACUCCAGCCUGGGUGACAGAGCAAGACUCCAUCACCUCACCCCACCUGCCAAAAAAAAAAAAAAAAAAAACAAAACAAAAAGAAAGAAGAUGCGUGAACAGUUGAAGGCCAAGAGCACAAAAUUACAAAGUUUUGACACUGUCAAAUGACAGAAGAGUUAACAACAACCAAAAAAACAAGGGUAGAAAGAUUAUUGAACCCAAUAGAAUGCUUUUGUUGCAGUAUAAAAUGGAAUUUAAACUGGCUAAACAAAAGAGAUUUAUUUGUUUGCGAAUUAAAUAGUGAAGAUGUAGAACCAUCUUCAAGAGUGGCCUCAUCAAUCUUUCUCUGGGAUUCUGUGGGCCUUGCCAUCCCCCAUGUGUUAUGUUUAUCCUCAGGCUAGGCCAGGGGGUCAUUUCCUGGGGAAGAGAACAUGUAGUUCCUGAAGGGUUGAUUGAAAGGCUUGUGGUUUGCCUUGAUUAGCUUACUUCUGGACCAAUCACUGUAGCUAGGGGGAGUGACUUGCACUGUAGAAGGAGAUAGUAUAAUUGUUUUUUAAUGCCUUAUGAUAUGUUUGGCUGUGUCCCCACCCAAAUCUCAUCUUGAAUUGCAACUCCCACAAUUCCCACAUGUCACAGGAGGAACCCGGUGGGAGGUGAUUGAAUUAUGGGGGCAGGUCUUUCCUGCACUGUUCUCAUGGUAGUGAAUGAGUCUCACAAGGUCUGAUGGUUUUAAAAAUGGGAGUUUCCUUACACAAGCUCUCUUUUUUGCCUGCCGCCAUCCAUGUAAGACGUGACUUGCUCCUCCUUGCCUUCUGCUAUGAUUGUGAGGCUUCCCCAGCCAUGUGGAACUGUAUGUCCAUUACAUGUCUUUUUUGUAAAUUGCCCAGUCUCAGGUAUGUCUUUAUCAGCAGCAUAAAAAUGGACUAAUACACCUCCCAAAACCCAUGGCUGCUAAAUAGUGGGGGAAGAGUGAGUCAUCACUUGAGUAGACUGCAACUCCAGGCCUACAUAAUCUUAAUGCCUACUGAUCUCUUGUUUCUUCCAGAAAAAGCUCCAGGGAGGGCUUUGGAGGGAUUGGUCCAUGUGCUCUUUCUUGAACCAAUAUUAGGUUUAAGGGGGAUAGGCCAGACUUGUGUGUUAGCUGCCGGAGGUGAAUGGGAACGGUCAGCACCACACAAACAACAUGGAACGAACUCCUUAUAGUCACCACAGUCCCUUCAGUGGGUUUCCUGGAUUAGUGAUAGUGAUACCACAGUUAUAAAAUAGUUUCCAUUUUCUGCUCCAGAGAAUGAUUUUAUUUUCAUUUUCAUUCUUUGUAGAGCUUCUUAUUUAUGUGUUUUUAUAAUCUGUUGACUUGGUUUUUUAAAAACUAAUUUUCCUUUCAUUUUCAUGUAAAGGAUCAGUGAUAUCUUUCUUGGUAAUCUGCAAAUUCCUCCAAAGCAGGUGUCCUCUUCUUUUCUCUCUUCUCUCUUCUCUCUUUCCUCCUCUCCUCUCCUCUCCUCUCCCCUCCCCUCC
rnacentral:lncRNA from 1 species